rnacentral:tRNA from 1 species
AUCCAAGUAGUUUACAAAAAAUAUUGGUUUGUGGGACCAGUGAUGUAGUUAUCUACCUUAGAUA